rnacentral:rRNA from 1 species
GGGAAAGGUGAAAAGCACUUCGAACAGAAGAGUGAAAUAGUCCCUGAACCCAUACGCCUACAAGCUGUCGGAGCCGCUUCGUGCGGUGACGGCGUGCCUUUUGCAUAAUGAGCCUACGAGUUACUCAUCACCAGCGAGGUUAAGUACUUCAGGUACGUAAGCCGAAGCGAAAGCGAGUCUGAAUAGGGCGUCAAGUUGGUGGUGGUAGACGCGAAACCUUAGUGAUCUACCCAUGGGCAGGGUGAAGGUUUGGUAACACAAACUGGAGGCCCGAACCGGUAAACGUUGAAAAGUUUUCGGAUGACCUGUGGGUAGGGGUGAAAGGCCAAUCAAACUGGGAAAUAGCUCGUACUCUCCGAAAUGCAUUUAGGUGCAGCCUCUGUUGUUUUGUUCUAGAGGUAGAGCUACUGAUUGGAUGCGAGGGCUUCACCGCCUAUCAAAUCCGGCCAAACUCCGAAUGCUAGAACAUGAAGACAGGGAGUGAGCCAGCGGGUGCUAAGGUCCGUUGACGAAAGAGGGAGAACUCAGACCAUCAGCUAAGGUCCCCAAUUAUAUGCUAAGUUGGAAUAAAAACGGGGUGGGACUGCUUAGACAGCUAGGAUGUUGGCUUGGAAGCAGCCAUUCAUUUAAAGAGUGCGUAACAGCUCACUAGUCGAGCGGUCCUGCAUGGAUAAUACGCGGGCAUAAGCAUAUAACCGAAGCUAUGGGAUUGUAGAUGAUACAAUCGGUAGGAGAGCAUUCCAUUCAGCAUAGAAGCAGUACCGUGAGGUAUUGUGGAGCGGAUGGAAAAGCAAAUGUAGGCAUAAGUAACGAUAAUGCGGGUGAGAACCCCGCACGCCGAAAGAUCAAGGAUUCCCCGGCAAUGUCAAUCAUCCGGGGGUAAGUCGGAUCCUAAGGGUAAGCCGAGUGGCGAUCCCGAUGGCAAACAGGUUAAUAUUCCUGUACUGAUCAUAACUGCGAUGCAGCGACGCAGAGGUGACACUGCUGCGUACUGACGGAAUAGUACGUUGAAACCCGUAUUCUUUGAUACCGGUAGUGAAGCACGCCGGUAGAGAUGAAAGGUGAUAGUACCGCAAUGCUUCGGUUGCGCGGAUAAUGCAGGUAAGCUGACUGCCAAGAAAACCUGCUAAGCUUCAGGUAAUGAUCAUCCGUACUGUAAACGGACACACGUGAUCAGGUAGAAAAUACUAAGGCGCUCGAGAGAUUCAUGGUUAAGGAACUAGGCAAAAUGGUCCUGUAACUUCGGGAUAAAGGACGCUCUUGUGAAAGAGCCGCAGAUAAUAGGCCCAGGCGACUGUUUACCAAAAACACAUGGCUAUGCUAAUUCGCAAGAAGAUGUAUAUGGCCUGACACCUGCCCGGUGCCGGAAGGUUAAGAGGAGAGCUCAGAGGUAACUCGAAGGUUUGAAUUGAAGCCCCGGUAAACGGCGGCCGUAACUAUAACGGUCCUAAGGUAGCGAAAUUCCUUGUCGGGUAAGUUCCGACCUGCACGAAUGGUGUAACGAUCUGGGUACUGUCUCAACCAUGAGCUCGGUGAAAUUGUAGUUCCGGUGAAGAUGCCGGAUACCCGCAACGGGACGGAAAGACCCCGUGAACCUUUACUGCAGCUUUGCAUUGAUUUUGGGUAACAGAUGUGUAGGAUAGGUCGGAGGCUUUGAUGCUGCGUCGUCAGGCGUAGAGUAGCCGUCGUUGAAAUACGACCCUUUUGUUAUCUGAGGUCUAAUCCCGUUAGGGAGACAUUGCAUGGUGGGUAGUUUGACUGGGGUGGUCGCCUCCAAAAGUGUAACGGAGGCUUCUCAAGGUACCCUCAAGGCGUUUGGUAAUCGUCUGCAGAGUGCAAUGGCAUAAGGGUGCUUGACUGUGAGACCGACACGUCGAUCAGGUUGGAAACAAGAGCAUAGUGAUCCGGUGGUUCCGCAUGGAAGGGCCAUCG